UUAAUUGAAGCCAAAAAGCGGCAUAUUACUGUUAAUGAUAAAAUUGGAUUUAAUAUCCCAAUUAAA
rnacentral:tRNA from 1 species